GAUGAACGCUAGCUACAGGCUUAACACAUGCAAGUCGAGGGACCGGCGCACGGGUGAGUAACACGUAUCCACCCUGCCCUUUACUCGGGGAUAGCCUUUCGAAAGACAGAUUAAUACCCGAUAUAAAGGAUUGGGAUGCGUUCCAUUAGGUUGUUGGUGAGGUAACGGCUCACCAAGCCUUCGAUGGAUAGGUGUUCUGAGAGGAAGGACCCUCACAUGGGAACUGGGACCAGGUCCAAACUCCUACGGGAGGAAGCAGUGAGGAAUAAUGGGCAAUGGGAGCUAGCCUGAAACAGCCAAGUAGCGUGGAGGAUGAAGGCUUAUGGGUCGUAAACUUCUUUUAUAUAAGAAUAUGUAUUAUAUGAGUAAGGAUCGGCUAACUCCGUGCCAGCAGCCGCGGUAAUUC
rnacentral:rRNA from 1 species